AUCGUCACAGUGAAUAUUAAUAAUCUGUUUUAGUUAAGAGCCAUGGCAAAACCAUCCCCACCUGCAUGCUUGAUUCCGGUUCUAUCCCCAGUCAUUAAGUCAGUAACAAAGAAUCUUGACUUGGGAGUUUUGAAUGGUCUUCUAAAUGACUUGCUUGUUUGUGAUGAAUGAUGACUAAUAGCACUUGGAUGGAAAUAAAAUUAACAUGACAGCACCUAUUACGUUUUAUUCAAUUGCAAUUUUUCGAAAUUGAUAAAUUUACAAUUUUAAUAAAAUAUAGAGUUUCAUUAUUAAAUUUAUAACAAAAAUUUAUAUAAAAUGAUAUUGAUCUUCCUCUAUUUAUUAUAAUUAUAUUCCUAUACAUUUCGAAUAUAAUCUGGGAAACACUAAUUGCAGAAGUAAAAAAUUCUGUAAAGUAAAAUGCAAAAAACACGCACAAAACACGCGCGUUGCAGUUAAUUCGAAACGCAAAGCAAAAAAUAUACGCCAACAUUUUUGUAACGGUAUUUUAAAAAUGCAUCUAUUUCACGGGUAGAUGUCAAAAGUAAAAAUAAAAUAAUUUAAAUAUUUGCGCGAAAUAUUCGAACUAUCCUUGCGUAACGAAGACAAAACAAACCGCGCUAAUUUCGUAUAAAAGGCAGGAAUAUUGUACGACUAUUAUAUUAAUUGAAGUGAAUUGAACUGAAUUUACACUUAAUUAACUGCUGGUACCUGCAAACAAAAAUUUACUGAAAUGGCUAGUCGAAAAAUGAUUCUGCUUGUGUUGGUGGUAUGCGUGUUGGCAACCGCUAUGGCAAGACCAUCAACACGUUGUGCAAUUUAUAUACCAUUUGUAAGUGGCAUCGUCAAAGCAGUCAAUAAUAACAUUGAUUUAGGUCCAACUGUGCAUAAUCUCCUCAAUGACUUACUGGUGUGUGAUUAACUAAUGACGUUACAUUUGUGAUAUAAUGCCAUGUUCACAUGAUAAAGUGCAAUUACCAAAUUGUUGUUUUUAUACCUAAUACUCCCACAUACUAAAUUAAACAAACCAACAGCUAUAAAAAUUAAGAUUUCUUCAAUUAAUAAUAGUUUUACGAGAGGGUGUAUAUUUAUACACAUAAAUCAAAGAAAUCAAUUUAACGCUUUCAAAUUAUCGUUGUUCAACCAAAGCAUAUUAAUAAAGGUGUGCCGAUAAGAGCUCUAAUGGUCGAAAUAGCUAUCGACAUCAGGUUUGACAAACACUUCCAUUGACUUGCAAUGGUUUUAUUAAUAUGGUAUCGUUUAAUAAUGAUAACUGUAAGGUUAAAGCGUUUUCUUUCAUUUAUAUCUAUCAAAGAUUUUUUAAAUUUUAUUUAACCUUAAAUUAUACGUUAAACCACCAUAUGUUUUAUUUUCAAAUGAAAGGGUAAACCUUAAGGAGGGUAUUUAGAAUUCAUCUGCUUGAUGAUGGCACAGUGUGGUGAAACAUAUUGCAGUGUGUAAUAAGUACUGUGAAUUCCAUAAGGUUUAUUCUUUCAUUUGACGAUAAUUAUGGAGUUUCAUGAUGUAAGUGGCUCAACAAUUCAAUGUUUCUUUUAUUGAUGCAUUUAAUUUUAUUCAUACACCAACAAAAAACAACGUAACUAUUCUUUUCAAAUUAAUUACUUAAAAAAUAGUACUACUCAUAUUAUAACAGGCGUAUUAAAAUAUCAUUCGGAAAGUUUCAGGAUGCGCAUAUCUUGAUACUUUUUGUACGAGUUUUAUUAUCAAGUGUACAUAAGUUUCGAACGGAAAUAUACCACAUAAGUAAAAAUUUAAAUUUUUUUAUUCGUCUCGAUACAAAGUUCUUGUUAUAAACAGUGAAGAAGUGAUAAUGACAAACAUAAUGUAAAGACAAAACAAUAAUAUUAUGAUUUUUUUGAAGAAUUCGAAAACAAUACCGCUUUUUUGCAUAAUGAAUGUUUCAUACUUGAAUUAAACUGACAUAAACACGUUUCUAUUUUUCUGUUUACACAAGUAGCUGCAGAUAAAACGUAAAAACAUCCAAAUAGACAAACACGAGCAAAAUAAGUACUUAAGUUAUGAGUCAAGUAGUAGGUAUAUAAAGCGAAGAGGUUUGCUGAACGUUAUCAGUGCAAAUAUAAACCUACACUUGCAACAAGCCAAAAAUAAGUCAAACUAUUUGAAAAUCAAGCUAUUUGAGAAGAAUAUAAAAUGAAUAUUCGUAAAAAUGAUGUUCUUGGGUUUAUUAUCAAUUUUAUGGAAUCAGCAUGCCUUAGGUGGCGUAGAUUUGGAUAAUCCAUUGAACCAUUGUCUAAAAUGUCUUCAGGAUGUGGAUUUUGAUAAAUGUUUUGUGCUUUCAUAAUCGUGAUAUUCAUUAGUUAUAACUAAUUUACCUAUACUUACCUAUAUCUAUACUUUACUUAUAUUUUUUUACUAUGGUUCAAUAUUAAUGUCGUAUUUGUAUGAAUUUAUAAAAAUGAUUAAACAAUAAAAAAUAUUAUAUUUAAAAAA